rnacentral:rRNA from 1 species
AGUGAACGCUGGCGGUAGGCCUAACACAUCCAAGUCGAACGGCAGCACAGUAAGAGCUUGCUCUUACGGGUGGCGAGUGGCGGACGGGUGAGGAAUACAUCGGAAUCUACUUUUUCGUGGGGGAUAACGUAGGGAAACUUACGCUAAUACCGCAUACGACCUACGGGUGAAAGCAGGGGAUCUUCGGACCUUGCGCGAUUGAAUGAGCCGAUGUCGGAUUAGCUAGUUGGCGGGGUAAAGGCCCACCAAGGCGACGAUCCGUAGUUGGUCUGAGAGGAGGAUCAGCCACACUGGAACGGAGACACGGUCCAGACUCCUACGGGAGGCAGCAGUGGGGAAUAUUGGACAAUGGGCGCAAGCCUGAUCCAGCCAUACCGCGUGGGUGAAGAAGGCCUUCGGGUUGUAAAGCCCUUUUGUUGGGAAAGAAAAUCAGCAGGUUAAUACCCCGCUGUUCUGACGGUACCCAAAGAAUAAGCACCGGCUAACUUCGU